AUGAAAGAUUGGUUGUUACACUGUGUCCUCCCUAUCCUGGUGCGUUGGUACAACCACCUUUUCUCAUGUUGUGUGAAAGAAAAGCUGAAGAGGUCUAUGAAUUGUCGAGAUUCUUUCUUAAUGCAGUUUUUACUUUUGCUUGAGUAUCUGUAUAUACCGUCAGAGUAUUCAGACAUGAACUCUGCAGAGGUUAUUCCGCAAACGUCUUUAUUGACGCUUAACUAUUUCGUGCAAACUCUGUCCAUGUAUUAUAAGCACAAUGUUGAAAGUGCAUUAUAUAGUCAGUUAUUUGUUCCAAAUGGAACAUAA
rnacentral:rRNA from 1 species